GACAGAGGGUGCAAACGUUGUUCGGAAUUACUGGGCGUAAAGCGCGUGUAGGCGGCUCUGCAAGUCGGAUGUGAAAUCCCACGGCUCAACCAUGGAAGUGCAUUCGAAACUGCAGGGCUAGAGUCCUGGAGAGGAAGGUGGAAUGCUUGGUGUAGAGGUGAAAUUCGUAGAUAUCAAGCGGAACACCGGUGGCGAAGGCGGCCUUCUGGACAGUGACUGACGCUGAGGCACGAAGGCCAGGGGAGCAAACGGG
rnacentral:rRNA from 1 species